AAAGGAAUAGACGGGGGCCCGCACAAGCGGCGGAGCAUGUGGAUUAAUUCGAUGCAACGCGAAGAACCUUACCUGGGUUUGACAUGCGCCAGAAGCGCCCGGAGACGGGUGUGCCCUUCGGGGCUGGUGUGCAGGUGGUGCAUGGCUGUCGUCAGCUCGUGUCGUGAGAUGUUGGGUUAAGUCCCGCAACGAGCGCAACCCUCGUCCUGUGUUGCCAGCGCGUGAUGGCGGGGACUCGCAGGAGACUGCCGGGGUCAACUCGGAGGAAGGUGGGGACGACGUCAAGUCAUCAUGCCCCUUAUGCCCAGGGCUUCACACAUGCUACAAUGGCCGGUACAGAGGGCUGCGAGGCCGCGAGGCGGAGCGAAUCCCUUAAAGCCGGUCUCAGUUCGGAUCGGGGUCUGCAACUCGACCCCGUGAAGUCGGAGUCGCUAGUAAUCGCAGAUCAGCAACGCUGCGGUGAAUACGUUCCCGGGCCUUGUACACACCGCCCGU
rnacentral:rRNA from 1 species